rnacentral:lncRNA from 1 species
UUCCUCGGGGGGCUGCCCCUCGCCUUCACCGGGCCCGACCGCGGCGCCAUCGACUGCCGGCAGAGCCUGCCCGCCCUGCCCCACAUCUGACCCACUGCGACCCACAUGCGACCCAUAGAGACCCACAGGGACCCACAGAGCCUGCCCGCCCUGCCCCACAUCUGACCCACGGCCGACCCAUAGAGACCCACAUCUGACUCACAGCUGACCCACAUCCAGAGGAGCUGCCCCACAUCUGACUCAUGGCCGACCCAUAGAGACCCACAUCUGACCCACAGCAGCCCGGCAUGCCCCACAUCUGACCCACAUCCAGAGGGGCUGCCCCACAUCUGACCCACAGAGGGGCUGGGGCUGACCCAUAGAGACCCUGCCCCACAUCUGACCCACAUCCAGAGGGCCUGGGGCUGCCCCACAUCUGACCCAGAGAGACCCUGCCCCACAUCUGACCCAUGGCCGACCCAUAGAGGGGCUGGGGCUGCCCCACAUCUGACCCACAUCUGACCCACGGCAGGGCUGCCCCACAGAGGGGCUGCCCCACGGCUGCCCCACACUGGGCCUGGGGCUGACACACAUCUGACCCACAGCAGGCUGACCCAGGGCAGGGCUGAGCCACAGUGGGGCUGCCCCACAUCUGACCCACAUCUGACCCACAGAGGGGCUGGGGCUGACCCACAGCUGACCCACAUCUGACCCACAGCAGGCUGACCCAGGGCAGGGCUGAGCCACAGUGGGGCUGCCCCACAUCUGACCCACAUCUGACCCACAGCAAGCCCAGGGCUGACCCACAGCAGCCCUGACCCACAUCUGAUCUUCUGCUGACCCACAGUGGGCCUGGGGCUGACCCAGGGCAGGGCUGACCCACAGCAGGGCUGACCCACAGUGGGGCUGCCCCACAUCGUGACCCACAGCGGGGCUGCCCUGCCCCACAUCUGCCCCACAUCUGCCCCACGGCCUCUGUGGGUCGGGGCACGAGCCGUGGGGCCGGGUCCCACCGCGGGCGCCGCUGCCGCCCCACGGGAGGGGACGUGGGGCCGGGGGGGGAGAAACGUGGGGUGGGGAGGGGGCGACUUGUGGGGCGGGACGUGGUGGGGGAGGGGGGGCAGAGCUUUGGGGGGGGGGGGGGGGUCCGCCCCCCACAUUUCCGGCCCCCCCCCGUUUUUAACCGUGCCUCAGUUUCUCUCUCUUCUCCCUGCUGCCGAGGUCCGAGC